rnacentral:rRNA from 1 species
UACGGGGGGGGCUAGCGUUGUUCGGAAUUACUGGGCGUAAAGCGCACGUAGGCGGCUUUGUAAGUUAGAGGUGAAAGCCCAGGGCUUAACCCUGGAAUUGCCUUUAAGACUGCAUCGCUAGAAUUGUGGAGAGGUAAGUGGAAUUCCGAGUGUAGAGGUGAAAUUCGUAGAUAUUCGGAAGAACACCAGUGGCGAAGGCGACUUACUGGACAGAUACUGACGCUGAGGUGCGAAAGCGUGGGGAGCAAACAGG